CCUGGGAGAGGAGCCCCAGCCCCGGGAGUCCCAGGUGUUCCCAUUCUGCGAUCAGCACAGAACACACACACACCUCACCAUGGAGUUUGUGCUGGGCUGGGUUUUCCUUGUUGCUCUUUUAAAAGGUGUCCAGUGUGACGGGCAGCUGGUGGAGUCUGGGGGAGACCUGGUGAAGCCUGGGGGGUCCCUGAGACUCACCUGUGUGGCCUCUGGAUUCACCUUCAGUAGCUAUUGGAUGCACUGGGUCCGCCAGGCUCUAGGGAAGGGGCUACAGUGGGUCGCAUAUAUCAGAUAUGAUGGAAGUAGCACAAGCUACGCAGACUCCGUGAAGGGCCGAUUCACCAUCUCCAGAGACAACUCCAAGAACACGCUGUAUCUGCAGAUGAACAACCUGAAGACCGAGGACACGGCCACAUAUUACUGUGCAAGAGACACAAACUAGGGGUGGAAGGG